CCCUUGUACACACCGCCCGUCACACCAUGGAAGCAAGCAACACCCGAAGCCGGUGGCCUAACCCCUUGUGGGAGGGAGCCGUCGAAGGUGGGGCUCGUGACUGGGGUG
rnacentral:rRNA from 1 species